rnacentral:tRNA from 1 species
GGGCUGUUAGCUCAGUUGGUAGAGCGCCGCAUUCGCAUUGCGGAGAUCGCCGGUCCAAUUCCGGCACAGUCCA